UACGUAAGGGGCAAGCGUUGUCCGGAAUUACUGGGCGUAAAGCGCGUGUAGGCGGUUGUCCAAGUUGGAUGUGAAAGCCUUGAGCUCAACUCAAGAAAUGCAUUCAGGACUGGAUGACUAGAGGACCGGAGAGGAUAGUGGAAUUCCCAGUGUAGUGGUGAAAUACGUAGAGAUUGGGAAGAACACCAGUGGCGAAGGCGGCUAUCUGGACGGUUUCUGACGCUAAGACGCGAAAGCGUGGGGAGCAAACAGG
rnacentral:rRNA from 1 species